rnacentral:rRNA from 1 species
UACGUAGGGGGCUAGCGUUGUCCGGAUUUAUUGGGCGUAAAGAGCGUGUAGGCGGCCAGAUAGGUCUGCUGUGAAAACCUGCGGCUCAACCGUAUGGUCUGCAGUCGAUACGGGCAGGCUAGAGUUCGGUAGGGGAGACUGGAAUUCCUGGUGUAGCGGUGAAAUGCGCAGAUAUCAGGAGGAACACCGGUGGCGAAGGCGGGUCUCUGGGCCGAAACUGACGCUGAGGAGCGAAAGCGUGGGGAGCGAACAGG